GAACGGCCGRCAGGCGAUCCGCGUCGGUCGCGCGAGGUGGUAUGGUUCCCCAGAGGCCGGUUCUUGUGCUGCCUACCCCUUCAGGGGAAGCGGGCCACUUGAUGUAAGCCUCCAUCCGGCGCCCUCCAACGGGCGCAGGAGGACAACAGAGCACACCCCGYGUACCACCGAGCCUUCGUCGGUCGCGUGGCGCGCGGGGACGUGCGAUGCUCUCGGACCCAGCGAACGCCGUGGGCGAGGACUCACGUCCCAGUCCCGAUAGAAGCCUCGAUAUAAUGCAUGACGGCCGCUCCCGCCCCCCGACCGCCCCGGCGGCGCGUGGRCGAGGCGCGGCGUCGCGGARGAAUGCUACCUGGUUGAUCCUGC
rnacentral:misc_RNA from 1 species